CAUUAAAGAGUUCUAUAACUCCCAAACCCAUGUGAACAUACCUAACGUUGCCUCGGCAGGUCGCACCUACCUUGUAGCACCCUACCCUGUAGGGCCUACCCGGGAGGUGCGGGUAAGCCUGCCGGCGGCCCACCAAACUCUGUUUGAUAUUGAAUUCUGAACCUAUAACUAAAUAAGUUAAAACUUUCAACAACGGAUCUCUUGGUUCUGGCAUCGAUGAAGAACGCAGCGAAAUGCGAUAAGUAAUGUGAAUUGCAGAAUUCAGUGAAUCAUCGAAUCUUUGAACGCAUAUUGCGCCCAUUAGUAUUCUAGUGGGCAGGACCGUUCGAGCGUCAUUUCAACCCUUAAGCCUUCGUUGCUUAGUGUUGGGAGCCUACGGCAACGUAGCUCCUCAAAGUUAGUGGCGGAGUUGGUUCACACUCUAGACGUAGUAAUUUUUUAUCUCGCCUAUUAGUUGGACUAAUCCCCUGCCGUAAAACCCCCAAUUUAUCAAGGUUGACCUCGAAUCGGUUCAGACAAACUCGCUAAAUUGAAGCAUCUUAGUCAGCGAAGGAAAAGAAACCAACAGGGAUUGCCCUAGUAACGGCGAGUGAAGCGGCAACAGCUCAAAUUUGAAAUCUGGCCCUCGGGUCCGAGUUGUAAUUUGUAGAGGAUGCUUUUGGCGCGGUGCCUUCCGAGUUCCCUGGAACGGGACGCCUUAGAGGGUGAGAGCCCCGUACGGUUGGACACCAAGCCUCUGUAAAGCUCCUUCGACGAGUCGAGUAGCUUGGGAAUGCUGCUCUAAAUGGGAGGUAAAUUUCUUCUAAAGCUAAAUAUUGGCCAGAGACCGAUAGCGCACAAGUAGAGUGAUCGAAA
rnacentral:rRNA from 1 species